rnacentral:rRNA from 1 species
AUUGAACGCUGGCGGCAGGCCUAACACAUGCAAGUCGAGCGGAUGAGAAGAGCUUGCUCUUCGAUUCAGCGGCGGACGGGUGAGUAAUGCCUAGGAAUCUGCCUGGUAGUGGGGGACAACGUUUCGAAAGGAACGCUAAUACCGCAUACGUCCUACGGGAGAAAGCAGGGGACCUUCGGGCCUUGCGCUAUCAGAUGAGCCUAGGUCGGAUUAGCUAGUUGGUGAGGUAAUGGCUCACCAAGGCUACGAUCCGUAACUGGUCUGAGAGGAUGAUCAGUCACACUGGAACUGAGACACGGCCCAGACUCCUACGGGAGGCAGCAGUGGGGAAUAUUGGACAAUGGGGGGAACCCUGAUCCAGCCAUGCCGCGUGUGUGAAGAAGGCCUUUUGGUUGUAAAGCACUUUAAGCGAGGAGGAGGAGCUCUAGAUUAAUACUCUAGAUGCUUGGACGUUACUCGCAGAAUAAGCACCGGCUAACUCUGUGCCAGCAGCCGCGGUAAUACAGAGGGUGCAAGCGUUAAUCGGAAUUACUGGGCGUAAAGCGCGCGUAGGUGGUUAGUUAAGUUGGAUGUGAAAUCCCCGGGCUCAACCUGGGAACUGCAUUCAAAACUGACUGACUAGAGUAUGGUAGAGGGUGGUGGAAUUUCCUGU